AUUGAACGCUGGCGGCAGGCUUAACACAUGCAAGUCGAGCGGGGGAAGGUAGCUUGCUACCGGACCUAGCGGCGGGCGGGUGAGUAAUGCUUAGGAAUCUGCCUAUUAGUGGGGGACAACAUCUCGAAAGGGAUGCUAAUACCGCAUACGUCCUACGGGAGAAAGCAGGGGAUCUUCGGACCUUGCGCUAAUAGAUGAGCCUAAGUCGGAUUAGCUAGUUGGUGGGGUAAAGGCCUACCAAGGCGACGAUCUGUAGCGGGUCUGAGAGGAUGAUCCGCCACACUGGGCCUGAGACACGGCCCAGACUCCUACGGGAGGCAGCAGUGGGGAAUAUUGGACAAUGGGGGGAACCCUGAUCCAGCCAUGCCGCGUGUGUGAAGAAGGCCUUAUGGUUGUAAAGCACUUUAAGCGAGGAGGAGGCUACUCUAGUUAAUACCUAGGGAUAGUGGACGUUACUCGCAGAAUAAGCACCGGCUAACUCUGUGCCAGCAGCCGCCGUAA
rnacentral:rRNA from 1 species